rnacentral:lncRNA from 1 species
ACGACUGUGAUGCCGUGCAUGCGUUUGGACGAUCAGAUGAUGGGUCAAAUUAAGUUAAAAGCUUCCUUCUCUUCACAACUUCGUCUUCAUCUUCUUCAAACCCAUAAUUCCAGUUAAAUAAGCGUCUGAGAAGGGAGGUUGAGAGCAGAAAAAACAAAGAGAGAGAGAGAGAGAGAGAAAGCUAGAGAGAGAAACCACACAACCAAAAUAGAGCAUCCGUUCUGGGUGCGUGAAAAUGGAUUUUCAUCCUUCCUCACUUCCUUAGAUGUCUAUGAUCACCUAUAUACGUUACCCAAUCACCAAAUUACCGUAGCAAGCUUCAGAAGUUGAAAUUGUGUUGUUGAAUCGGAACAACGCCCCCGUUCAGGUAGGUGUUUGUUCUUCGUUUAAAUUUCUUCCUAAUUUUUUUAUUUUCUUUCCAAAAUCUUGUAGUUAGUUGUUAGACUAACAAGUUAGGAGUGUUAGGAAAUUAUUUCUCAAAGUUAAAUGAAUCAUAAACGUGAAAAUUAAUUAAAACUCUCACCAUAUUCUGUUUUAAUUACCGUAAGUUGAAAAGGAAGUUUUUUGAAAUUUCCAGCAUUCCUUCGUGCAAAAUUUGUUUCUGUUUUGUGUAUACAUCAGUUAAGAUAGACUGAAAUCUUGUUGGUGCAUGGUACGCAAUUUUUAUAUGCUUAAAAAUAACAUGUUUUCGUGAAUUAAUCGUGUUAUGUGCGUGUGUGAAGGGAAAACAGUGUUUGUCCGUGUGUGAGUGUUAUAUGUUAGAUUUUUUCUAACAUUUUGAGUUUAACGGGGGUCUUGAUAUUCUUAUCAGGUUAUCAAUUUAAUGGACUCAUUUAAAAAUAAUCAAAUAUAGUUAAACAGUAUUAAUUCUUAAUAUAUCUGGUUUAAGUAUGAGCUUAUAAUAUUCAUAUACUAUUUUUAUAAUAUUCUUAUUUUAUGAUGAACGAAAUAAAAAUUAUAAAAAUUUAUUGAUAUAAAAGGCGAUUGUUGUCUCCGAAUCACAAAAUUGCUAUUUUAUUUUUUAAAAAAUUUCAUUAUAGAAAAACUUAGUUUUUGAGACAUCAUACUAAUUCGAAAUAUUUUACGCCAAAUGCGAAAAAUUCUUUUACAAUAUAUACAGGUACGCUUCUACUUAUAUUUUUCAUUAAUUUAGUACGAAAUUAAUUUUUAUAGAUAUACAGAUUUAAAAAUUAUUUUUAUUUUAACAAUUAGUUUUAGAGCAAUUCUCAUAUUCAAGGUUUUUUUUGUUUUGUUAUUUUAGAUUUUGAGAAAUAUAUAUAUAUAUAUAUAUAUAUAUAUGUAUAAAGAUUAGAAAUAUAUAUAUUCAGGAUAUAGAAAAUAUAUAUAUAUGUAUUUUUUUAAAUUAGAAAAUAUCUAUU